CAGCGUAUUUCCAAGGAUAUAACUUGUUGUGCUAUGGGAUCUUCAACUGUAUGCCAGAGUAAUUGGAGAGUCAACACAGUGCCUGCAGCUGCCACUUGUUUUUCCUAUGUGU